UACAGGGGUGGCAAGCGUUGUUCGGAAUUACUGGGCGUAAAGGGCGCGUAGGCGGCCUUCUAAGUCAGACGUGAAAUCCCCCGGCUUAACCUGGGAACUGCGUGUGAUACUGGAUGGCUUGAAUUCGGGAGAGGGAUGCAGAAUUCCAGGUGUAGCGGUGAAAUGCGUAGAUAUCUGGAGGAAUACCGGUGGCGAAGGCGGCAUCCUGGACCGACAUUGACGCUGAGGAGCGAAAGCUAGGGGAGCAAACGGG
rnacentral:rRNA from 1 species